rnacentral:rRNA from 1 species
AUUGAACGCUGGCGGCAGGCUUAACACAUGCAAGUCGAGCGGAGAGAGGUAGCUUGCUACUGAUCUUAGCGGCGGACGGGUGAGUAAUGCUUAGGAAUCUGCCUAUUAGUGGGGGACAACAUUUCGAAAGGAAUGCUAAUACCGCAUACGUCCUACGGGAGAAAGCAGGGGAUCUUCGGACCUUGCGCUAAUAGAUGAGCCUAAGUCGGAUUAGCUAGUUGGUGGGGUAAAGGCCUACCAAGGCGACGAUCGGUAGCGGUGCUGAGAGGAUGAUCCGCCACACUGGGACUGAGACACGGCCCAGACUCCUACGGGAGGCAGCAGUGGGGAAUAUUGGACAAUGGGCGCAAGCCUGAUCCAGCCAUGCCGCGUGUGUGAAGAAGGCCUUAUGGUUGUAAAGCACUUUAAGCGAGGAGGAGGCUACUUUAGAUAAUACCUAGAGAUAGUGGACGUUACUCGCAGAAUAAGCACCGGCUAACUCUGUGCCAGCAGCCGCCGUAAUAC